rnacentral:rRNA from 1 species
UACGUAGGGGGCAAGCGUUGUCCGGAUUUAUUGGGCGUAAAGAGCGUGUAGGCGGCCUGACAGGUCUGCUGUGAAAACUCGAGGCUCAACCUCGAGAUGUCGGCGGAAACCGUCUGGCUAGAGUCCGGAAGAGGAGAGUGGAAUUCCUGGUGUAGCGGUGAAAUGCGCAGAUAUCAGGAAGAACACCGGUGGCGAAGGCGGGUCUCUGGGCAACAACUGACGCUGAGGAGCGAAAGCGUGGGGAGCGAACAGG